rnacentral:rRNA from 1 species
CAGCAGCCGCGGGAAUACGGAGGGUGCAAGCGUUGUCCGGAUUUAUUGGGUUUAAAGGGUGCGUAGGUGGUCUGCUGAGUCUGGUUUGAAAGCUGGUCGCUUAACGAUCAGAUGUGGCUGGAAACUGGUGGACUUAAAUGGGUUGGCGGUAGCUGGAACGGGUCAUGUAGCGGUGAAAUGCAUAGAUAUGACCCAGAACCCCGAUUGCGAAGGCAGGCUACUACGACUUGAUUGACACUGAGGCACGAGAGCAUGGGGAGCCAACAGGAUUAGAUACCCCCGUAGUCCCUGUCUCUUAUAC